AUAUAUAUAUGUGUGUGUGUGUGUGUAUGUGUGUGUAUAUAUACACACACAACACACAUAUAUAUGUCACAUAUAUAUACAC
rnacentral:miRNA from 1 species